AUUGAACGCUGGCGGCAUGCCUUACACAUGCAAGUCGAACGGCAGCACGGGGGCAACCCUGGUGGCGAGUGGCGAACGGGUGAGUAAUGCAUCGGAACGUGCCCAGUAGUGGGGGACAACCAGUCGAAAGAUUGGCUAAUACCGCAUACGACCUAUGGGUGAAAGCGGGGGACCGUAAGGCCUCGCGCUAUUGGAGCGGCCGAUGUCUGAUUAGCUAGUUGGUGAGGUAAAAGCUCACCAAGGCGACGAUCAGUAGCUGGUCUGAGAGGACGACCAGCCACACUGGGACUGAGACACGGCCCAGACUCCUACGGGAGGCAGCAGUGGGGAAUUUUGGACAAUGGGCGCAAGCCUGAUCCAGCCAUGCCGCGUGCGGGAAGAAGGCCUUCGGGUUGUAAACCGCUUUUGGCAGGAACGAAACGGCGACCUCUAAUACGGGUCGUUAAUGACGGUACCUGCAGAAUAAGCACCGGCUAACUACGUGCCAGCCGCCGCAGUAAAAC
rnacentral:rRNA from 1 species